rnacentral:lncRNA from 1 species
GAGAAUCACUUUGGAGUCACUAUUAAGCAGCCUCUCCAAGAACCAGACGAUGUAUCCGAAAAGUGGUUAUGAAGAUACUCUUUCCGAAACAGAGUGAUAGUGCUGUUAUCAGGACUCUUCAACGUGUGACAGAUGCCUCCAUAAGUGUGGGAGACACACUUCAUGAACGCUUAAUCACAAUUACUGCAACAGAGGUAUGGUUUUUUUGCAUGCUUAACUCUUAAUUCUCAUAUCUCUCUGUUUAUUUAAUUUGUUCUAUCUUUUAAAUAUUACUCUUGGUUUAAUGUUUGCUGCUUGUGUUCAUCACGCAGAACCUUAAAGACAAAGACUCCCCA